GUGAGGAAUAUUGGGCAAUGCCCGCAAGGGUGACCCAGCAACGCCGCGUGGAGGAUGAAUGUCGUAAGAUUGUAAACUCCUGUUAGAGGGGAAGAAUAGUACCGGUUGGACCGGUAUAUGACUGUACCCUCAGAGAAAGCCCCGGCUAACUACGUGCCAGCAGCCGCGGUAAUACGUAGGGGGCAAGCGUUGUCCGGAUUUACUGGGUGUAAAGGGCGCGCAGGCGGGAUAAAAAGUCAGUGGUGAAAUCCUACAGCUUAACUGUAGAACUGCCUUUGAUACUUUUAUUCUUGAGUUCGGGAGAGAGAGACGGAAUUCCAGGUGUAGUGUUGAAAUACGUAGAUAUCUGGAAGAACACCAGUUGCGAAGGCGGUCUCUUGGUCCGACACUGACGCUGAGGCGCGAAAGCGUGGGGAGCAAACA
rnacentral:rRNA from 1 species